ACGUGUCCAUCUCACUCCAAACCUCACCAGGAAAACUCAGUGUGAUGAAAUGAAAAAGGUUUACCAGGAAAUCAAAGAGAAUGCAAAAGAAAAGAAAAGAAACAAACCAAAAGCAAAACAAAAAUGAAACGAAACAAAACAUCUAUAAAACAAAAUACAAAAUAAGAGCCCUAGGUCUUUACAGCCUCAUCUCUGAAGCCGUACUGCAUCUUAAAGCCUAUCUACCUCUCUGAAGGGACUUACCACAAGUGUGCAGCACAGGAACUUGUUCAUUGUGGUCGGUGGAAGAAACCUCAGCGAGCUGGGAAAUCAGGCAGAGAGUCAGCUAGUGUGCUCCAGCCUCCUAGCAGCCUGCUUACAUCCCUCAACAUUAAAGACACGAUAUAUAUAUAGUCCCGGUGUAACAGGAAGCUUUGGCUCAGCUUUGAUCACUCAUUCCCUACCAUGACCAAACUUUUCUCUCUCUCUCUCUCUCUUUUUUUUUUUUUUUUUUUUUUUAAGGAACCUGUAAAACUUGAUGACUUAAUGGAACCCUUUGAGUGCUGUUAACCACAGACUGGAAAAUGAGGAGGGAGUGUCAGGGGCUGGCCAGGGGAGGGUUUAAUUGGGCUCUUGUCUGUCUGUCUGUCUGUCUAUCCCUCCCCCCCCCCUUUUUUUUUUCUCCCCUACGCAGCUGGCUUGGCAGGGAGACACGUGCCUCCAGGACAACACGUCUCAGCAACCAGGCUUAUAGGGCACUUGUUUAAAAAAUCACUGCUGGCAGCCGAGCUGUGGGCUCUGCAGCCCCACAGCCAGCUCUCACAGGGGGCCUGGAGCUCACCCAGGGCUGCCAUUUCUUGCAGAUCCCGUGGGCCCCUUUCUGCCCAACUCCCCAGGGAUUUCCAGGAGAGAGGCUGGCUGGGAAACAAAGGCCAGACCAAAACCUCAUCUCUGGAUAUUCCAGCUCUCAAGCGUUUGAAAUCUGGGGCCCAUGUUGGCUCUGAAUUGUGCAGUUUUGCCCCUUUGAGUCAUGAGGCUAUGCGGGAUUGGCAAAAGAAUGAGGUGGAAAAAGCUUGCAUAUUAUUUCAUAAAAAUCCAGCAACACUAAAUCAGGAAGCCAUAGCGUACAAGAGGGACAGCCCAGCACAUUCCUGCUUUACACAUCUGCAACUGUUUGAACACCCAUCAAGCUUAACCAAAGACUGAAACAGAUGCUGGUUACACUCAGCAGCACAAUAAAAAUUCAAGAACUUGCA
rnacentral:lncRNA from 1 species